AUGUCAUAUAUAACAGGUCCGGCUCUUAGUAUGUGUUUGCUUGUAUUAGUCACGAAAAAGAUGUAAACAAACGAUCAGCUGAUGGUGACGACAAGGCUGCGAAAAAUUUUGUUCGCAGUUUCCUCAACGUGACGUCAUCUUCGGCUGCUUCGUGAACUUUCGGCUCGCCGAAGUUGGCAUUGCACAGCUACCACUUCAAAACUGAUGUUAUCACAAAUACUGAUUUGAUGUUCGCCCGCACCUCUUAAUACCCCACAUCGGAUGAGAUGGAAAAAGAUGUGUACUGAUGCUAUAAAAGAUGGAAUGGAUGACAUGCAUCUAUGUUGAAAUUGUACCAAUGAAAAGAGUCAGUCUGCUUUUAUGAUAGUAACCUCAUGUAAAAUCAAUCAUCAAAAAGAAAAUUUAUCUGGCAAAACAGCGGCAGUAUAAUAUUUACAAUGCAACGAUCGAUCUGGUCCGAAAGCCAUUUAAAAUCUUCGAUGCCUAUCAAACCAUCGCAGCGGAGUACUGUACAUAAUCCGCCCGAGCAGCUAAGACCACGAAAAAGGCAGAAACAUUUGAUAACUUCAACCGCACCGGAACUGUGAAUUCCGAUUCAAAGACUGAAGAACCUGAAGAAUUUCUAUCGACCAGGUUUAGAACUACGGAACCACGGUUAGGACUACGGAAUAUCGGAUUGACUUUACAAUAUCUAUAAAAAUGUAAUACAAUGCAAUGUAAAUAUUUUUGAAUUAAUAAACUACUCACUGGAUGAGUAGCCCUAAUGGAUGUGGAGGGGAAAUGA